rnacentral:rRNA from 1 species
AUGGCGUCGGUUAAGCCUAGAUUUUCUGAUUCCCCCUGUUGGAAAGCCCUGCUUAAAGUCAAAGAUAUCUAUUUGGUAGGUAGAAAGAUCCAUUUGGAAUCUGGUGACCUUGUUAGAGUCUGGAAAGAUUCCAUAAACGGGUUGAGUCCUUUUCAGACCCUCUACCCUUCGCUGUUUGAGAUCUGCAAUAAUCAGGAUUGCACUACUGCUAAUUUCAAGUCUGUGGACGUCCAUUCUUUCUUUAGAAGGAGACUCACUCCUGAAUUAUCCCGUCAAUGGGAGGAAAUAAACAAAACGAUCAAUAAUAUCCAGCUGAGUCAGGGUGGGGACCGGGUCUGCUGGGGGCUUAAUAGCAAUGGCAAAUUUUCCACUAAAUCUGUGUAUAAAUGGCUUGAAAACCCUCUUAGUGGUUGCCAUUAUAGAUGGAUUUGGAGAGCCAAUAUCCCUCUCAAAAUCAAAAUCUUCAUGUGGCAAUUGUCCCAGGACGCAGUGCUCACUAGACAAGUUAUGAGAACGAGGAAAUGGACUAGGAAUCCCACAUGUUCUUUCUGUAAUGAGUUGGAAACCUCCCAACAUCUGUUUUUUACUUGCCCUGUUGCUAAAGUGAUCCGGAGAUGUGUUGGGAUAGUUCUGGGUACUGAGAUGUGCCCGAAUAGCUACUGGCAAUAUUUUGCUUGGUGCCACACUUUUCUCCCUGAUGGACAAAAGUACUAUACGGUGGGCUUGGCUGCUGCUUGCUGGGCCAUUUGGCUAGCUCAAAACCGAGCUACGUUCGAAAAGAAGCUUAUCAAAACGCCUUUUGAGAUUGUUUUCUCCAUGUGUUCUUUCCUACUGUACUGGACAGGGCUGUAG